rnacentral:lncRNA from 1 species
AGAAGAAGAGAGUAAUGUGGAGGAGGCUGAAGUUGAAAAGGUAAUAAAAUAGUCUGUUGAUGACUACCUAUGCAUUGGCAUAUUUAGAUCAAUUUAAGAUGAUUUUGAAGAGUAAUUGCAGGAAUUUACUAAAUUAAUGUUCUAAUUUUCAUUGGUAGAGAUUUUGAGGUUAAUAAUGCUAAGUUGAAAAGGUGAUAAAAUAGUCAGUUGAUGACUACAAAUGCAGUGGCAUGUUUAGAUCAAUUUAAGAUGAUUUUGAAGGGUAAUUGUAGGAAUUUACUAAAUUAGUCUUCUAAUUUUCAUUGGUAGAGUUUUGAAGUGAAUAAUGCUAUUUGCAUUCACUUACUAUCGCAGCCGUCUUACGUAGCAUAUAUGUGUUGGUUAGUGAUUUGAUAUAUGAGGUAAGAAAAAAAUUACCACAUUAAUAAAUCUAAUCACAAACUGUCAUAUAGGAUGCCACAUAGGGCGACUACCUGAGCGAGCGACUGUGAAUAUGAUUACUUUUUUGAAGUGUAUUAAAGAGAAUUUCCUUUGAUUUUAGUUUUUAGACGGGGAUCAUUUGUCCUAUUUAUAAGCAUUACAACAAGCAUAUUGACCAUUUAAUGUCACAUCAGCUAUAAUGUCGACCUUAAAGUGUAUGUCAUUGCCAAAAUUUGAGAAUUUUGAUUGGUUGUUGAGGUCGGUCAUGCAUGUCAUCAUGCUACCUAGGUUGUAGCUGUGGCCUUGGUCAUGAUUACCUGUUACCUAGGUAAUUAUUAUUAUUUUUUUGAUUGGUAGAAGAUGAGAUGUUGAUGCCAUGUGUCACUUGUUGCUUUGGGAGUCAUUUGGGAGAUAUGUGUUCAUGAUUGCAAUGAUGAUGUUUUUGGAUGACGCCGCAAUUGACUGAGCUGAGUGAUUUCCUAGUCCAUCCCUUUUUGCGAUAGUUAGCUUCUUUUUUACAUCCAAUUAAUCAUUGUCAUGUGCCAUUUAAUAUACCUCAUUCAUGAAACUACUUAUGAUUGACCAACUUCCAAAAAGGAAUCUUACGAUUCCGAGCUGAGAAAUGAAGGUUUGAACUUUACGAAGAGUAAACGUCUAGAUCUUAGAGAAUAUUUGUAGGUGUUUGCACUCACGACCACCUCUAACCCACUACAAAUUAAGGAGAGCUAAAAAAGAUGCUAUCUCAAAGAAGAUGGACUAGGAGAUCGUCAAGCUAGCUCGACGUUGUCGCCUUCAUCCAAAAAUAUCAUCAUUACAAUUAUAAAUACAUGUCUCUCAAAUGACGUCAUCACCACGGACGACCACUUCCAAAGCGACAAGUGGUGCUAACAUCAACAUCUCAUCCUCCACCAAUCAGAGAUAAGUAAUGAUUAUCUAGAUGACAUUUAAUCAUGAUUUAGGCACAAAUAUGAAUUAGUUAGUAUGAUGGUCUUUAUGGCCAACCUCAACAAUCGAUCAGAAUUCUCAAAUCUGGACAGUGGCACACACUUCGAGGUCGACACUGUAAUUGAUGUGAUAUUAGGUGAUCAAUUUGCUUAUUGUAAGGCUUAUAAAUAGGACAAAUGGUCUCCUCCUAAAGGCUGAGAUUAAGGAAAUUAUCUCUAAUACACAUCAAAAUCUAUAUCAAUAAAAUUAGCUACUAUUUAGUAACUCCUGCAAUUAUUCUAAAAAGCGUCUUAAGUUGAUUUGAAUUUUCUACGUCAUUUUUAGUCAUCAAAAUGGGCAAUUGAUAGUGCCAGGCUUCACCCUUCUCCUGCUCCAGAAGAUGAAGACGAAGAUGAAAGCAGUGAAGAAUAAGAUGACAAUGUUAAGGGUGAUAGAUAGGAUUAUCGAAAAAUGGGUAAAAGGAAAUGAUUAGUGCUUGCAAAAGGCAGAUCAAAUUAUGCCAUUAUGUUAUUUUCAAUAUUAGAUUAUAGAAGUAACUAUAUAAUUAAUUGUUAUCACGGAUGGUUUGUCAUGAUUUCUUAUAGGCAAAAUUAUUUUGAUGAUGUAAUUAAUGGACAUAGAUUCUGUGAUUCUGCUCUGUUGCGGCACUCGUACGCUGAUUCCUAAAUUUAGUUUAGCUAAGAGAUAAAUCUAACAGAGAGUAGAGGGAGUGUUGCUAGGUAAGGGAACGAUCGUUCUUCAAUUGUAGAGCAAGCAGCCUUUCACAUCCUCUUUCAGAAAAUGUUUCGGAUUAGAAAAUCAUUUAUUUUUUCUCAAUUCAGCCCUAAAUCCACAGUUGCAUAUUUAAUACACAAUGCACUGCCAAGUCUUCUACUUAAUGAUGGUGGCACGAAUGAUUGAUGAUUGGGUUUCUGUAUGUGCAUGUCAUUGUACAUUGGUGUCUGUAAAACUGACAAUUGAUUUGUUAUUCUGUUUGACCUGUUUCGGUUGUUAUUGAUGUCAUGUGAUGAUGGCUCUUGUUUCUUAGAUAAAAAGUUGAGACCUUUUCUUCUAGGAUACACGUCACGUUGAUUUUCAGACAAUGAAAUUGUACUACCAUAGGCUAAUGCUACUUUCCCUCAUCUUUUGUUCAUAUACUGAAUCUAUUAUCAGACAUUGUGUAGUAUCAAGCAGGGUUUUGUGUUUGCGAAAAAAAGGGGGACAUUGGUUAAGGAAUUCUCUCCAGUUCCAUUUCUCAAGCCUCAGUUACUUAAAAGAGCAUAUCAACCGGGAUGGAAUAGCGCGUACUAAAUCUUUUCCAGAAUUAGUUUACAUCAUAAGGUAUGGCAGAAUGGCUUCUCGGAAUUGGCAGAAGAAAAAUAUAUAUAAGAUUUGAAUGUUUCAAGUUCUGAAUUAAUCAUAUAAAUGUCAAUAAUUCAUAUUUUAUUCCUUUUUUUACCCUUUCUUUUUUAUUGCCACUGAUUCCACAAUUUAUUUGCAUAACAGUGUACCUUUCUUCUCUUUCCUCGCUCUCGUGCAAUUGGUAUCCGAUCAAUAUCUUUGUAUAAGUUCUAACUUUCCCGGAAUGUCUAUCAAGAAUUCACUUGUGUUUCUUUUCUUGAUAAUCAAGUUGCAUGCGUUUAGAUUGUACAUGACCAAACUUGAAAAAAUUUAUCCUAAAU